CGCAUCUGUGCAUGCAGCACAUCAAUAAGCGGAGGAAAAGAAACUAACAAGGAUUCCCCUAGUAACGGCGAGUGAAGCGGGAAGAGCUCAAAUUUGAAAUCUUAAAGGGUUUCCCUUUACGAAUUGUAGUUUAAAGAAGUGUUUUCUGUUGAGGUUUUGGUAAAAGUUCUUUGGAAUAGGACAUCAUAGAGGGUGAGAAUCCCGUAUUUGACCUUUACUUUCAACUUUGUGAUACACUUUCAAAGAGUCGGAUUGUUUGGGAAUGCAGUCCAAAAUGGGUGGUAAAUUUCAUCUAAAGCUAAAUAUUGGCGAGAGACCGAUAGCGAACAAGUACCGUGAGGGAAAGAUGAAAAGAACUUUGAAAAGAGAGUUAAACAGUACGUGAAAUUGUCAAAAGGGAAGCGUUUGACACCAGUGUUGUUUUUCUGAAAAUCAAUUAAAGAACUGUUUAUGCUAAGUUGUUUAGACUUUAUCAGCUAAUCUGCUUAGUUUUGAGCUUUUCUUUAAUGCACUUUUCAGUUAACAAGUCAACAUCAAUUUCUUUUGCUGUAAAAAAGCUUGAGGAAGGUGGCUUGAGAUUCGUCUUAAGUGUUUAUAGCCUCUUGCCUAUGCAGUCGGAGAGAUUGAGGUCUGCAGCGUAGAUCCUUCGGGGCUAAAUGCAUUUGUGCUAAGUUAUAGCAUUUUAUAGACAACUUGUUGACUAUGAUUUGUCUUGUAGCUUACUCGCUUAUGUUAUUUUACCUACGCUUAGGAUGUUGAGCGCAUGUCUCUCUC
rnacentral:rRNA from 1 species